rnacentral:rRNA from 1 species
AGCGAACGCUGGCGGCAGGCCUAACACAUGCAAGUCGAACGAACUCUUCGGAGUUAGUGGCGGACGGGUGAGUAACACGUGGGAACGUGCCUUUAGGUUCGGAAUAACUCAGGGAAACUUGUGCUAAUACCGAAUGUGCCCUUCGGGGAAAGAUUUAUCGCCUUUAGAGCGGCCCGCGUCUGAUUAGCUAGUUGGUGAGGUAAAGGCUCACCAAGGCGACGAUCAGUAGCUGGUCUGAGAGGAUGAUCAGCCACAUUGGGACUGAGACACGGCCCAAACUCCUACGGGAGGCAGCAGUGGUGAACCUUGCGCAAUGGGCGAAAGCUUGACGCAGCCAUGCCGCGUGAAUGAUGAGGGUCUUAGGAUUGUAAAAUUCUUUCACCGGGGACGAUAAUGACGGUACCCGGAGAAGAAGCCCCGGCUAACUUCGUGCCAGCCGCCGCCGUAA